rnacentral:rRNA from 1 species
UGAGGAACAUGACCUUCGGCGGGGGAUAGCCGGCCCAACGGCCGGGUAAUACCGCGUACGACCUUUCGGGGACAUCCCUGGAUGGUGAAAGCAGCGAUGCGCCGAUGGAGUGCCUCGCGGCCUAUCAGCUAGUUGGUGAGGUAACGGCUCACCAAGGCGACGAUGGGUAGCUGGUCUGAGAGGAUGGCCAGCCACAUUGGGACUGAGACACCGGCCCAGACUCCGUAGG